rnacentral:rRNA from 1 species
CCGGGCUACACACGUGCUACAAUGGCAGGUACAGAGGGCUGCAAAGCCGCGAGGUAGAGCGAAUCCCAGAAAACCUGUCUCAGUCCGGAUUGAAGUCUGCAACUCGACUUCAUGAAGGCGGAAUCGCUAGUAACCGCGAAUCAGCAGGUCGCGGUGAAUACGUUCCCGGGCCUU